UGAUUAGAUACCCCACUAUGCUUAGCCCUAAACUUAGAUAGUUACCCUAAACAAAACUAUCCGCCAGAGAACUACUAGCAAUAGCUUAAAACUCAAAGGACUUGGCGGUGCUUUACAUCCCUCUAGAGGAGCCUGUUCUAG
rnacentral:rRNA from 1 species